rnacentral:rRNA from 1 species
ACUCCUACGGGAGGCAGCAGUGGGAAGUCUUGGACAAUGGGCGCAAGCCUGAUCCAGCCAUGCCGCGUGAGUGAUGAAGGCCCUAGGUCGUAAAGCUCUUUCGCCUGUGAUGAUAAUGACAGUAGCAGGUAAAGAAACCCCGGCUAACUCCGUGCCAGCAGCCGCGGUAAUACGGAGGGGGUUAGCGUUGUUCGGAAUUACUGGGCGUAAAGCGCGCGUAGGCGGACUAUUAAGUCAGAGGUGAAAUCCCGGGGCUCAACCCCGGAACUGCCUUUGAUACUGGUAGUCUAGAGUUCGAGAGAGGUGAGUGGAAUUCCGAGUGUAGAGGUGAAAUUCGUAGAUAUUCGGAGGAACACCAGUGGCGAAGGCGGCUCACUGGCUCGAUACUGACGCUGAGGUGCGAAAGUGUGGGGAGCAAACAGGAUUAGAUACCCUGGUAGGAUAGCG